rnacentral:rRNA from 1 species
GGCCAACCUGGCGGGCCAAGUGGCGAAAGGGUUAGUAAUAUAUCGGAACAUACCCUAGAAUGGGGGAUAACGUAGCGAAAGUUACGCUAAUACCCGCAUACGCACUUAAGGUGGAAAGUGGGGGAUCGCAAGACCUCGUGCUCAUGGAGUGGCCGAUAUCUGAUUAGCUAGUUGGUAGGGUAAAAGCCUACCAAGGCGACGAUCAGUAGCUGGUUUGAGAGAACGACCAGCCACACUGGAACUGAGACCACGGUCCAGACUCCUACGGGAGGCAGCAGUGGGGAAUUUUGGACAAUGGGGGCAACCCUGAUCCAGCAAUGCCGCGUGAGUGAAGAAGGCCUUCGGGUUGUAAAGCUCUUUUGUCAGGGAAGAAACGGUGUUUCCUAAUACGGAAGNCUAA